ACCACUUCGGUGGGGAUUAGUGGCGAACGGGUGAGUAACACGUGGGCAAUCUGCCCUUCACUCUGGGACAAGCCCUGGAAACGGGGUCUAAUACCGGAUAUCACUUCCGCAGGCAUCUGCGGGGGUCGAAAGCUCCGGCGGUGAAGGAUGAGCCCGCGGCCUAUCAGCUUGUUGGUGAGGUAACGGCUCACCAAGGCGACGACGGGUAGCCGGCCUGAGAGGGCGACCGGCCACACUGGGACUGAGACACGGCCCAGACUCCUACGGGAGGCAGCAGUGGGGAAUAUUGCACAAUGGGCGAAAGCCUGAUGCAGCGACGCCGCGUGAGGGAUGACGGCCUUCGGGUUGUAAACCUCUUUCAGCAGGGAAGAAGCGAAAGUGACGGUACCUGCAGAAGAAGCGCCGGCUAACUACGUGCCAGCAGCCGCGGUAAUACGUAGGGCGCAAGCGUUGUCCGGAAUUAUUGGGCGUAAAGAGCUCGUAGGCGGCUUGUCACGUCGGGUGUGAAAGCCCGGGGCUUAACCCCGGGUCUGCAUUCGAUACGGGCUAGCUAGAGUGUGGUAGGGGAGAUCGGAAUUCCUGGUGUAGCGGUGAAAUGCGCAGAUAUCAGGAGGAACACCGGUGGCGAAGGCGGAUCUCUGGGCCAUUACUGACGCUGAGGAGCGAAAGCGUGGGGAGCGAACAGGAUUAGAUACCCUGGUAGUCCACGCCGUAAACGGUGGGAACUAGGUGUUGGCGACAUUCCACGUCGUCGGUGCCGCAGCUAACGCAUUAAGUUCCCCGCCUGGGGAGUACGGCCGCAAGGCUAAAACUCAAAGGAAUUG
rnacentral:rRNA from 1 species